AGAGUUGAUCAUGGCUCAGGAUGAACGCUGGCGGCGUGCUUAACACAUGCAAGUCGAACGAAGCAUUCCAACUCUCGGAGGAAGAAUGACUGAGUGGCGGACGGGUGAGUAACGCGUGGGUAACCUGCCUUAUACAGGGGGAUAACAGUUAGAAAUGACUGCUAAUACCGCAUAACCCGCUAGUACCGCAUGGUACAGACGGAAAAGAUUUAUCGGUAUAAGAUGGACCCGCGUCUGAUUAGCUAGUUGGUGAGGUAAUGGCUCACCAACGGCGACGAUCAGUAGCCGGCUUGAGAGAGUGAACGGCCACAUUGGGACUGAGACACGGCCCAAACUCCUACGGGAGGCAGCAGUGGGGAAUAUUGCACAAUGGGGGAAACCCUGAUGCAGCAACGCCGCGUGAAGGAAGAAGUAUUUCGGUAUGUAAACUUCUAUCAGCAGGAAAGAAAAUGACGGUACCUGACUAAGAAGCCCCGGCUAACUACGUGCCAGCAGCCGC
rnacentral:rRNA from 1 species